UAACGUGUCGAAAAAAUAUGA
rnacentral:piRNA from 1 species